GACUAUCGAAUAGCUGUAAUUUCAUCGUUGUUGUUGUUGUUACUGCUUGCUGACUCCUUAUUACACCAAAAUCAAAAUGAAAAGAAACUAAACAAGUCUAUCAGCUAUGAGUUACAAGAUUCAUAUCUCUAAGUCUUCUUAAACUUGAUCUAGAGUCUUGGCUAGCUCUUCAUGCAGACUCUGAUAUGAACCUUGAUGCUUGCUAGUUGCAGAUGCUAUUUCAUUUUUCUAUGGUUUCUUCAGAUCAAAAUGGGACAUGCAAAGCGCUUGACUUCAGUCAUGUGUUGAGCAGUCCACAUCCUUUUAUCCGCUUCUGCAUUUCGGAUUCAUUUAUUUUCAUUUCUUUAUUUUGGAUCGAAACUUCUUCUUUUGAUUAUCUUGAACCCGUGCCUCGAGGUAAAACCUGCCCAGACACCAAAAUAAACAAACGAACGAAAUUUUUCUGCCCCAGUGUUGUCUGGAAAAAAAUUAGUGAGUUAUUUGUAACAAAUAUCUAUACUACUUCAUUAUUGAAAGCAAAUAAAAGGCCGGAAUUGGUGUACCCUAAGAAAAUAGAGACUAGAGAGUGGAGACCCUAUGUCUAAAAUGAAAGCAACUAGGGACUGGAGACCCAAUGUUGGAAAAGGAGACUAGGGAGUGGAGACCCUAUGUCUAAAAUAAAAUCUACAAAAGAGUGGAGACCCUAUGUUAGAAAAGGAGACUAGGGAGUGGAGACUCUAUGUCUGAAAUAAAAUCUACAAGGGAAUGGAGACCCUAUGUUGGAAUAGGAGACUAGGAAGUGGAGACCCUAUGUCUAAAAUAAAAUCAACUAGGGAAUGGAGACCCUAUGUUGGAAAACAAUACAAGGGAGUAGAGAUCCUAUGUCUAAAAUAACAUCAACUAGGGAAUGGAGAGCCUAUAUUGGAAAAGAGACUUGGGAGUGGAGACCCUAUAUCUACAAUAAAAUAAACUAGGGAAUGGAGACCCUAUGUUGGAAAAGAGACUAGGGAGUGGAGAUCCUAUGUCUGAAAUAAAAUCAACUAGGGAGUGGAAACCCUAUGUUGGGAAAACGACUCGGGAGUGGAGACCCCAUGUCUAAAACAAAAUCAACUAGGGAGUGGAGACCCUAUAUUGGGAAAGCAACUAGGGAGUGGAGACCCUAUGUCUAAAAUAAAAUUAACUAGGGAGUGGAGACCCUAUGUUGGAAAAGAGAGUAGGGAGUGGGACCCUAUGUCUAAAAUAAAAUCAACUAGGGAGUGGAGACCCUAUGUUGGAAAAGGAGACUAGGGGGUGGAGACCCUAUAUCUAAAAUAAAAUCAACUAGGGAGUGGAGACCCUAUAUUGGAAAAAGACUAGGGAAUGGAGACCAUAUGUCUGAAAUAAAAUCAACUAGGGAGUAGAGACCAUAUGUUGGAAAACGCAGCUAGGGAUUGGAGAUUCUAUACUACCAUAUUUGAACUUUUUCUUCUUUUUUUAUUAGGAGAAUGAGUAAAAUGCGGGAAAGAAUUUGAAGAAGACUUCCCUUUUUUGGAGUCAUUGUUGCGGCAGAGCUAUUUUAGUCUCCGCGUGGUUUCUUUUUGGGUGCACCUUCUUCUUGCAAGGUUGCUUUGGAUUAUACCUGUUUCCUAUUUUUCAAACAAAGAACAAUUUGUCAGUUUGAAAUAGUGGUUGGUUUUGUGGCCUUGAGUAUUUCAGUCACUUGAUCUCGGCCCAACUUCUUUGAUGAUGAUUUCAACUGCUACUGGUUAUUUCCUGAAUACCGAUUGCAUUUCCGACCCCGGAGAACCUCUGGCUUUUCUAGACUUUUCAAUAACGGUUGGUCACGUGGGACUCAACCUUUCGACUUUAUUUUGCCUUCGUAGGCCUUCCACUUCUGACUUGUUUUUUCCAAUUUUUAACUUCGGAGCAUUGGGCAACUUUUGGCUCUUUCAAAAUUUUGCCGCGACAUCUAGUCGCGUGGGACUUAACCUUUUCCAACUUUAUUUUUCUUCGAAGGACUUCAAUUUGACUUCCUUCUUUUGAGAGUUUUUUAUUUCGAAGCAUCAUCCACCAUGGCCAGUCGGGGUCAACUUGAUACCACUGCCAAGGUUGGAUGCCUUUUUGCAUAUUAGUUUGUAUCAAAUGAGAACCCUGUAAAUUAGUCUUGUCAUUCCUUCUUUAUCUAAGUUUUGGAACAGGGUUAGACCGAAAGGGAUUCAAAGAAAAACAAGCAAUGGAAGGGGCAAAUGAAUUUAGACAAGAGGUAUACCUUUUGGGGGAAGGAAAGAAGGACUUAUCUGGAGUACAUGCGGACUUCAAUGAACAUGACAUGCCUUUUGGACUGGAUACUUGAUCUGUGUAAGCCGUCCGACUCUCAUAAAUUCAUUACAACUUUUGCCUCAAAACCGAGAAACCUUGCUCAUGGCCGUGAAGAUCCUCUUUUCGAUCAAUGGUGCCUUUGCAGGUUUUCACCAGCUAACCUCUCUCAUUUCUCUUCUCGCCAUCGCCUUAAAGUGCUCUUUGCGAGUUUUCACUAACAUGACUCUCUCAUUUUAAUUUCUCUGCUUACCAUCGGCAUACGGUGCCCGUAUGGUUUUCACCAAUAAGAAUCAUUCAUAUUAUUUCUCUCAUUUAGUUGUAUCAGAUCCAAGUUACCGUAUACUCCAAAUGAACAUCUUUGCCGAUUGUUUGGAAGGACUUGAACAGGAUUUGGGAUAAAAAAAUUUGGAUUGAAUUACAACUUUGGAACGUUUCCGGCGAAACCAUCGCCGAACCAUUGUAAUAUCUGCCCCAGUUUCACUUUUGGGGGAAUUUGGAUUUUUAAUUUGGUGUGAAUGAAUCCUAGAGAGAGGCUGCCGACGUAUCCUUUCAUAAUCAAGUUGAACGUAGUUAAGGAACUUUGUUUUUUUUCUUCUAAUUUUUUGCUUUUUCAACUGUUUUUUUUUCUCUUUCUUUUUCCAUUUUUUUAUUUCAAUUUCUUUUUGUCUCUUUUUUUUCAAUAAUAUUUUCAGGUUCCAAAAAGGAUAAUCAAAGUAAAAGGGAACCAGCCCAAAGGGUUUGCAUGGAUUGGUAGUGUUUGGGUAGCGAGAGUACAAGCCUUCGUCAUCCCAAUUAGAGAGCAUUAAAAUUGUGUAAAAGGGUCAAACAUAAUACCAUUUGACCACAUCUGCAUUGAUAACUGUUUCGGGGUCAUUUCCUUUGAUGUCUCCCAAAUAUAGUGCUCCCUUUGGCAACACUUUUCUUAUAAUGUACGGACCUUUCCAAUUUGAAAUAAAUUUUCCUUUGGCUUCUUCAUGAUAUUGGAGAAAACGUCUUAGAACGAGUUUCCCCACUUUGAAUUUUCUACGCCGCACUUUCUUGUUGUAGGCAUAGGCCAUUCUCUAUUAGUACAACUGCCCGUGGCAAACUGCGGCCAUCUGCUUUUCAUCAAUCUAAGUCAACUGUUCCAAUUGGGUUUUGACCCAUUCAUCAUCCUCGAUCUCAACUUCAACAAUGAUCCGAAGAGAGGGAAUCUCAUCUUCUGUAGGUAUUACAGCUUCAGUUCCAUAAACCAAUAAAUAGGGUGUGGCCCCAACUGAUAUACGUACGGUUGUACGAUAUCCUAAUAAUGCAAAUGGCAACUUUUCAUGCCAUUUCCUGGAACCCUGAAUCAUUUUCCUGAGAAUUUUCUUGAUAUUCAUGUUUGCAGCUUCAACAGUGCCAUUAGCUUUGGGUCGAUAAGGAGUAGAAUUACGAUGCAUAAUUUUAAAUUGUUCGCAUACGUCCCUCAUCAAGGGGCUAUUCAGAUUUGCAGCAUUGUCUGUAAUGAUAGUUUUAGGAAUAACCAAAUGACAAAUAAUGUUGGAAUACACAAAGUCCACCACUGCUUUCUUAGUGACGCCUUUGAAAGUGAUUGCAUCGACCCACUUUGUGAAAUAAUCAAUGGCAACCAAGGCGAAUCUGUGCCCAUUUGAAGCUUUCGGCUCGAUUGGCCCAAUAACAUCCAUGACCCAAGCGACGAACGGCCAAGGUGUUGACAUAGGAUGUAACUCUGAAGGCAGUGCAUGAAUCAGGUCACCGUGUAUAUGGCAUUGAUGGAACUUCCGGACGAAACUGAAACAAUCUUUCUCCAUGGACAUCCAGUCAUAACCUGCCUGGAGGAUUUUCUUUGCAAGGACGUAUUCGUUCAUGUGAGGCCCCCAUACUCCUGAAUGCACUUCGUUCAUAAUUUUUUCAGCUUCUCGGGCAUCUACACACCUCAAAAGAUUCAAAUCUGGAGUUCUUCUGUACAAGACCUCUCCGCUAAAAAAGAAACUGCUUGCAAGCCUUCUGAUAGUUCUUUUUUGAUCUCACUGGCCUACUCGAGGUAUUCUUUUGUUUUUCAGAAACCUUUUAAUAUCAUGGCACCAUGGCUGAACAUCUAGCUCCAUUUAAUUACAUUACAAUAACCAUACCUUUAUCGAAUUUGGAUUUCCAGCGGCUCAAUAUGGACAUUUCCGGGGUAUGGCAGCAUUGAGGCCAAAGUAGCUAGUGCAUCGGCUAGCUCAUUGUGGAAUCGAGAAAUAUACCUGAACUUGAUGGACUUGAACCGUUUGUUGAGACCUUCCACACAUUGCAUGUAUGGGAUGAGAUUGAUGUCUCGAGUUUCCCAUUUGCUUUGGGCUUGCCGAAUGAUCAAAUCAGAAUCUCCCAUGAUUAACAAUUCCUCUAUAUCCAGAUCAACUUCCAUAUUCAUGACCAUACUACAGGCUUCAUACUCAGCGGUGUUGUUUGUACAGAAGAACUGAAGUCGGGUUGUUGCCAGAUAAUGCUAACCUGUGGGCAAAAUAAAAAUUACCCAAUCCCGAUACCUUUUUGCAUUCACAACUCCAUCAAAGAACAUUUUCCAGGCAUUGGUGUUCUCCUGAACUACCUCAACUGAGUUUACUUCCUCGUCCGGAAAGUAAGUACUUAAGGGUUGAUAUUCAUCAUCAAUCGGGUUCUCAGCUAGAUGAUCCGCCAAGGCUUGGGAUUUUAUCGUCGUGCGGGUGACAUAGACUAUGUCAAACUCGGUGAGCAAGAUGUGCCAUUUUUCUAACCUUCCCGUGGGCAUUGGUUUUUGGAAUAUGUAGUCCAGGGGAUCCAUUCUGGUUAUAAGAUAUGUGGUGUAGGGCAAAAGAUAAUGUCUGAGCUUCUAGCGACCCAAGUCAGAGCACAACAAAGUUCUUUCCAACAAAGUGUAUUUGACUUCAUAACUGGUGAACUUCUUGCUCAAAUAGUAUAUGGCUUGCUCUCUCUUACCGGUCACAUCGUGUUGCCCCAGGAUACAGCCGAAAGAAUUUUCCAAGACUGUCAGGUAAAGAACAAAGGUCUCCCCGACUCUGGUGGAACCAACACUGGCAAAUUUGAGAGAUAUUCUUGAUUUUAUCAAAAGCUUCUUGACAUUCAUCUAUCCAUCUGAUUGUCGCAUCUUUCUUUAACAACUUAAAUAUGGGCUCACAUGUGGUAGUAAGCUGAGAAAUGAAUCUACUGAUAUAAUUCAAUCUUUCUAGCAAACUCAUGACCUCUUUCUUGGUUUUCGGAGGAGGAAAAUCCCGAAUAGACUUUAUCUUUGUUAGAUCUUAUUCAAUACCCCUACGACUGACUAUAAAUCACAAAAGUUUUCUAGAUGGAACUCCAAAUGCGCAUUUAGCUGGAUUCAAUUUCAAAUCAUACCUGCCGAAACGCUCAAAGAACUUCCUAAAAUCUUGCACAUGGUCAUUCUGCAUUCUAGAUUUAAUGAUCAUAUCAUCCACAUACACCUCAAUUUCCUGGUGCAUCAUGUCAUGGAAGAUGGAAGUAUAGCUCUCAUGUAGGUCGCCUCAGCGUUUUUAAAACCAAAUGGCAUGACCUUCUAACAGUAAGCGCCCCAAGGUAUGGUGAAAGCCAUCUUUUCUACGUCUUCUUCAUCCAUCAGAACCUGGUGAUACCCAACAUAACAAUCCACGAAAGACUGUAUCUCAUGUUUGGCACAGUUGUCAACAAGAAUGUGGAUGUUUGGCAAUGGAAAGUUGUCCUUGGGGCUUGACUUGUUCAAUCCCGAUAAGCAACACACACUCGGGUUUUCCCAUCUUUCUUCGGCACUGGAACCAUAUUAGCCAACCAUGUGGUGUAUCGGACCACUAGGAUCACACCAGCUUUCAAUUGUUUGGUGACUUCUUCUUUGAUGUUAUCACUGAUGUCCGUUUUAAACUUUCUUUGCUUUUGUUAGACAGGUGCAUAACCGGGAUAAGUUGUCAAUUUAUGUACUACCAAAUUAAUGCUCAGCCCUGGUAUAUCAUCAUAGGACCAUGCAAACACGUCUUUAAAUUCAAACAAAAGUUGGAUCAAUGCAUCUCUAGUUCUUUCAUCGGCGUGAAUGCUCAUGGUUUCUCGGACAUCUUCUGGGCUGCCCAAGUUAACUGGCUUGGUUUUAUUUAAGUUUGGCUUAGGCUUAUUCUCAAAUUGUUCCAAUUCUCGAUUUAUUUUCCUAAAGGCCUCAUCUUCAUCAUAUUCCGGUUCUUAAUUCAUUAUUUCACAGUUAGGCAGCAUUUUAGGAUUUGGGCAUGAAGUUCGCAAGCAUGUCCUGUUAUUUAAGUCCGCAUUAUUAGAACUAAAAAGAAAAAGAUAAGAAAAAUAGCAAAAAUCAAAAUAAAGAAAAAGAGACAUCUAUGGAUGAUGAAAUAUUGAUUUCAUUGAAUUGAAUUGGAGGGUUUACAUCGAAAUCAAAAGACAAUAAAGUAAAAACAUUCGAGUUGCACCCUAAAAUAACUCGUAAUGCAGAAAAGAUGUCAAGAUCGAAAAUGGGGUAGCUUUCCAAUGUUGAAGCUUGGCAUCUGGUCUCAUAUACAACACCUCAGCAAUGCUCGUGUCUUCCCUUGGCUACCAUGUGAGACUCAUAUAGCAUUUGCUUCAAAGCUUUACAAAUAUCAUCAAUUUCUUCGGCCGUGAAAGCCACUUCUUCUUCUUUUUAUAUAUACUUGGGUUUAACAAAUAACUUGGUGAGAUGCGGAACGGGCUGGGGUAGGACCCACCCUUUUUCUUUGGGUUCUUUAGCCUAUUUUUUGUCGGCAUCUGUGGCUUGGAAACCUAUGCCGAAGAACUUCUCAUUGGCAAUUGAAGUAAUAGACUCUAUGAUGCUCUGUAGAGAUACCCCAAGCCCUUUCCCAGGCUUGUACCCAUGUAUAAUCAUUUCAGUGGUGACCAUGACUGAGGCAUUAGAUAAUCAAGGUUGAGGGAAUGGGGCCCCUUCUUCACAUUGAUCGGCAACCGCAAUCUCGAAGGCCUGGUAUACAAUAUAUUCACUGCCCUCCCUAGCUUCGAGACACAGUACUAAAUAGUCCCUGUAAAUGGAUUGUUUAUCCUCCCCAUGGACAAAAAUUUCCUGGUUUUCAUAUUCAAAUUUGACCAUUUGGAGGAGCGUGGAGGGCACAACUCCUACAGCAUGAAUCCAUGGUCUUCCUAGGAAAAAAUGGUAUGAGGUGUCCAUAUCCAGAACCUGGAAAGUUACUUUGAAAUCCGCGGGGCCAAUGGUCAAAAUCAAAUCGAUGUCCCUUAUCGUGUCUCUUUUGACCCUAUCAAGAGCCCAGACACAAACGUUGUUAGGUCGGAUUCUUUUAGUUCUGGUCUCCAUUCUUGGAAAUCUUGAGAGAGGGCAAAUAUCGACCCCGGAACCACCAUCUAGCAUGACUCUCUUCACAUAAUAACCCUCAUAUUUGACAGUCAAGUGAAGGGCUUUGUUGUGGGCGACUCCCUCAGGGGAAAAUCAUCGCGACUGAAAGAAAUCCUAUUGACCUUAAAGAAUCGUUCAGCCAUUCUCUCCAAUUGUUCAACUGAAGUUCCAGCUGGAACAUAUGCCUCAUUCAAUGUUUUUAAGAGGAUCUUCUGGUGUUCGUUCAGACUUAGCAGCAAAGAUAAAAGCGAGACCUGGGAAGGAGUCUUCCGGAGUUGGUCAACAAUUGCAUAUUCUGAGGUUUUCAUUUUUCAGAAAUACUCUUCUACUUCCUCAUCCUCACAGGCUUCUUUGGGAGGAAACUGUUUAUCCUUGUUCAACUUGGAUUUCUUUAACUCUUCUGGGUUGUGGUACUUCCCAGAUUGAUUCAUUUUAUUUACCUCUCCCAUGACCUCUUUCCUCCUGUAGGUAACCACUGUUAUGUUGUAAUUCCAGGGGACUGUGGUGGGGUCUCUCAUAGGGCUCUAUGGUGUACGGCUGAUAACCACGAGCUCAGUCAGUCUUGGUGGGAUUACCGGCCCUCGCGCCACAUAGGUCCCUUCUGGCACAUAUAACUUCGGCACAUUCAACAUGGCCUUUCUUUGCUUGAAUUUCUUGGGAGUGUUCAAGAUGAACUAUUCUUUUCUUGGAGCCUUAGGAACAUAGAGAAUUGCAUUUUUAGCAGGUGCUAUCCUAGUUUUUGUUUCUACAGAUUUUGCUACAGUUUGAGGAAAAGGAGUGAUUUUUUUCUCAGUUUUGGCUUGUUUCGCUGCCGCUUUGGGUUUUGCCAUUGAAUCGGCAAUUGUGAUAAUGGCUUUCAAUGCUGGAUUAAAUUCCUUGUCAUCACAAAUCAUUCCAAUUACCGGCCCAUUGUUGUGAGCCGGUAAUGGAUUAUUAGUCACAUUAGGGACUUUCUCGUCCCUCAGCACAACUCGUUUUUGUUUUAUCAAAUUUUCAACUGCCCUUUUAAGGGUCCAACAGUCCUCCGUAUCAUGACCCUCUGCUCUCGAAUGGUAGGCCCACCUGGUACCGGCCCAGUAUGAUGGGGAUUCAUGAUUUUGCCAAUUUAGGGGUACCGGUUGCAAUAGACCCAACUGGAUUAACUUCGGGAAUAGGCUAGAGUAGGAUUCACCAAUAGGAGUGAGAUUGUUUCUCUUCAUCGGCUCACGAGGGCAUGGAUUAUAUUGGUGGUUGUUUGGUGGUGGGCGGGGGAGCAGAGGUAUAAGGAGCUUAGAAAGGAUGGUUAUGUAUGGGAGGUGGAGCUCGGGCUUGGUUGUAGUGCUGUAGCGGCUGUGUAUAGGGUUGGGCAUUCGUCACCACAUAAUGAGGCGGUGCUGUGGUGUAGGCUGUAUCUUGGUGGGGAUAGUACUGUUGGGGGGUUAUGGGCGGCAUUAAAGAGUGAUCAUAUGAUCGACGGGGCCCUCUUGAACCUAAAACCAUCAUGGCUCCUUCCUCUCUCUUUUUAUGACUGGCUACACCCCCGAGCCAUUCUGCAUGGAUUAGGAAGUAGCUUUCAAAGAAGCUUGACUCAGUAUCCGGCCAGUAUUCAGGCCAUUCUCUACCAUUUCUCAAAUUUUUAUUGCUUUUGCAAAUGGUUUGCCCAUGGAGGACAUCAUAUUCUGAAAAUAAUCGGCCUCUUGGGCCUGCAAGAAAACAAUAACCAUUUAUGUCUCAUCCAUGGGCGGUUUUCACUUUGGCAGCUUGCUCACGCCACUUGAUAGCAUAUUCGUGGAAACUUUCCGGGGUUUUCUUCUUCAAGUUGGAUAGGGAAUUCCUGUCUGGAGCUAUAUCAACAUUGUAUUGAAGUUGUCUGACAAAAUCUCGUACCAAAUCAUCCCAUAUGUGCCACUUGGAGAUUUCCUGGACCAUAUACCAUUCUGAAGCGAUUCCAGUUAGGUUUUCCCCGAAAUAAUCCAUCAAUGACUCUUCUUUUCCAGAAGCACCCCUCAGCUGGUUACAGUAUUGUUUUAGAUGACCGAUCAGGUCUCCGUGCCCAUUGUACUUUUCAAAUUUUGGCGUUUUGAAGCCAGCAGGCAAGUGAACAUGGGGAAACAUACAUAGGUCAGAGUACGAGACACUCUUUUGGCCACUCAGGCCUUGCAUGUUUUUUAGGCUUUGUUCCAGGCUUCUCAUCUUCCGAGCCAUUUCUUCCUGCUCGGGGUUUCUCACUAUUCUUUGUUAUUCCAUUGGGGACUCAUAUUGGAAAUGCUAAGGGUAUGAGUCUAGAGUAACAUGAGUUGUGUCUAGCUGAAAUUAUAGGCCUUGGAAAGUGAACGUUGAAGGCUCAAAGCAUGGCCUGGGCACUAUUGGUUGUGUCAUAGUAAAGACUGGUAGUGCGAUGAACAAUGUAGAAGUUACCCCUAAAAACGGUGCCUGGGGGCAAACCUCAGAAGGCAUAUCGGUAAAAUUGGCUGACAUAGUUGGGUACCCAAACGGGACGAAUGGGUUGGACAUGGGGAUGGGGAUGUUGGUGGUUCCACCCGUCCUGGGGAUCAACUCGGGAAAUCCAGGGAUUGAACUUGGUGGUUCUCUACCGUUGGACCAGGCAUACCAUAUCUCCAACAUGCAGAGACGCAACCUCAUGUUCUCUUCGGCAGAUGUCGAUUUAGGCUUGGACAUAAUCGGUGUGGCAUUAUCCUUAGGAUCGAUGACGUGGAGACUACUUUCUGAAGACAUUGGGACACUUCCUUUUGAUCUUUUAAAGUAAGGGUGAGAAGCCAGGAUACCGUCAAAACCAACCACCUAAACAAGACAUAUCUUGAUUUGCACGCACAACAACCUUGUCAGUUUUGAGACAUUUAAUAGAUAGGGAAUCGCAUAUUGGGGAUGCAAUGCACCUGAAUAGUUAAACAUUUCUAAAUGUUUUUGCAACAGCUGCGUGUUUCAUCAAUAUUUUUGCUAUCUCUUUUCUCAUCUGUAGGUUUUUUCUAUCAAUCAAAUUUCAAAUCUUGAUUUCUUUUUCCCUCUCUUUUUCGUUAUUUUUUGCUCUUUUGUCUUUAUCUAUUAUUUUGUCACUCUUUUCUUUCUUUUUUUCUUUCUUCUCUCUUUUUUGCUCGGUUUAAUUAAUGGAAAUGAUCGAAUCCGAUGGGUAUUGCCUACAUAUCAUGACGCCGCAUGAAUCAAAAUAUUACGUAGUUCAGGGGAAUAAAUGCAAAAUGAAAGUAAAAUUUUUUUUUGGGGUUCUUCAAUAUUUCAUUAAUAAAAAUCUUUUUGGGUUUUCUGUUACAAAGACUCAGAAAUACUGACAAUUAAAAAGAAACAUACAGACUCAAAACAGAACAAAAAAUAGACUCAACAUGGAUGAAAAGACUAACCGACUUGAGAAAAAGUAAAAUACAGGCUCAAAAGCCGAAAAUCAGGAAGACAUAAGAGCCUCCAAUGUUAUUCCGGGGGGGCGUGAGACAUCAGUCGGUCUCGGUGUGGGCCUACGUGCAAUUUCUUCCUGAAGGUGCUCUAGAUCGGCCAUCACCUAGAGAACAAAUAUCAUCACUAGAAGCAAAAAAUAUGGAUCUGGUCAUAUCCUCGCAUUCAUGGCACUUCAUUGCAACAUAAUCAGUUAUUUCUUUAAUUCUCAUUCUAAUGACACCCAUUUCUUGAAGCAAGCGUCCAAUUUGCUAUGCCCAUGCUUCCAGCACCUGCGUGGCUAUGUUGUUUUGGUCUUGCAUUUUUUGCAUGUUUUUUUCUAAUUGGUAAAUCGGUGCAUAGCACUGCUCUCCUUUUGUUUUGAAGUCCUUUGUCUGUUGAACCAUUUCAUUUCAUGGAUGGCUAGCUUUUUCCUUAAAAUUGUGACUUCUCUAUGGUAUUUCUGCUUCAAUUGGUGGGCUAACCUAGCCUGUUCUUCUACACCUUUUGCCAACUUUGCUCGGGCUUUCAACAAGUCUUUCUCGGCCUUUGUCAGAUUGGCCGCAUAGUCAUUCACCUUUAACCUCAAGUUGUUUAUGUUUCUUUCGUCCUUCUCACUCCUCACAGGUGUUUCAGAGUCUACCUCAUGUCCCGGAGUUGGGCUUGGAGUGCCUCGUUCUCCCGGGUGAACCUUUUCCUUUCACCUUCAGCUUCUUGCGCCUGUAAGUCACUAUCAAAUGUGAGGUUUCUCAACUUUUCUUCUAAGGCGUGAAUGGUUGCUUGAUAUUUUUUCUCAUUUGCUCCCUAGGCCAACCGUUCUCAGAUCUUAUCAUCGAAAGCCUAAAUAUGAGGUCUUUUGGCCAGCCUUUCGGGCUCGGGCUCAUUAUUAACGCGAGACCUCUUCUCGAACCAUAUGGCAUAACCUGGGUCCACUUCACCUCUCGCAGGAUCUGGCACCUAGGUAUCAUCUUUCAGGUAUUGGCAGCCAUUCCAAAUUUGUUGGAUUAAAGCCUCGGGGAGUAGAGCUUUAGGGUGUAGUUCGAUGACUUGGACACUCAAAUAUUCAUCUUCGGGCACCACUUGGUAUCUUCCCAACUGUCUUAGAACUCUCUGCGGUGCAUAUGGUUGGACACUUCUCAAGCCCAUCAACAACAAAUAGCCUUUUGUAGCCGUCAUGUGUGUGACUUCCCUUAACGGGAGCCAACCCAAAGUCCAUUCAACCUAACUCGCCUUUAAAUUUCUUAGAUGGAAGAUCCGGCUUCAACCCCUUUUGGAGAGUUGUAAUCUUUUACCCUUUACUCAUAACUCUCGAUGAAGUUGUUCUUGCUCGGGCCAUAACUCAUGAAUUUGGGGUGAUGGCGGAGACGCUCAAUCAAACCACAUUUGCAAAAGAAUAUUUCACCCUUCAAAAAAACUUUGCCCCAGAUUUACACAACAUCAGUGCUUGAUAGAUGUCCGACAAUAUAAGUGGAGCAAGCGUGUGAUCCUCUUUGGUAGUGAGGACUUACGCAAUUCUAGCCAUGCAGAUAUCAAUUUUCCGUUCUUCAUUUAGGAAGGCCAUAAUUCCCAGAAAUGCCACUAUGAAAGCAAAGUGGCAUUGGAUUUUCCAAAUGUCCUUAUUUUGCUUGUUGUUCAGGCCCUUUUCAUGUAUUUCAAACCCAUUUAAGUGCCCAUAUCUGGAAUAUAGGAAGUAAAAGAAACAACAUCCUUUGUUUACAUUGUUCUUCCUUAUUUGCUUACCGAUAUUCAAGAGAUUAAAGAAUCGGUGCACAUAGGGAGGCCUUGGGAAUAUAAGUUGCUAAUUUCUCAAGUCCCGGUCGAAACCAGAAUAUCCGUCUAUUUCCUCCAAAGUGGGAGUAGGUUCAAAAUUCGAGAAGCGGAGAACGUUGUGGACGGGAUCCCAAAAAGUCACUAAGGCCUUAAUUUGAUCAUCCUGCGGUUUGACUUUCAUAAUAUCUGUAAGAGCACACAAAUGCUUUGUUACCCAAUCCUGGCCAUCUUUAUCUAAGUCGUACCACCACAUUUGAAGCCGCAGCGUAGCCUGCUCUACGACUGUUAAUGGCAGGUUUUGGAUAGUGUUCAUUUUGCACCUGUGGAUAGUUAGGGUUAGGGUUGACUUUAGUGGACUUUUUUUGCAAAGCAAACUUUCAAUUUUCCAAGGAAACAUCAAAAGAGGGUGGCUAUUUAUGCAAUAUUAGCAAAAUAUGGCUAUUUUUUCAACAAUGGCCCCUUCUCACUUUCAAUGAAGUUUGAGGCCGAGGAAGGGAACUUUAUGGAAAAAGUGAUGUCCCAUUGACAGAUAUGUCCGUUAUUUAUGAGAAUAGCCCUUCGAGAAUUUGAAGAUGUUCUAAGUCUAUUCCGGCAAAAAUGACUCAAAAUACAACAGAAGCUGGGUCGGCUUACUAUUUUGACCAAAGCACCAGACAUAUUUUUUUUAUUUGGUUAUUUUUGCAAAAAUGAGGCCGAACCCUAUGUAGAUUACUUAUGUAUCUCACAUAUGGUGAGAAUCAGACCUGCGUAGUUCGGUCAGUUUUGACACAACCGGGAAAACAUGUUAUUGACUCAUUUUGAAAUGACUCCCUUCUUUUUUUUCUUUUUUUUUCAAAAAUUUCGGCAAAGUUUCGGGGCUUUCUAAAUACCGGGGUUUUUAGAACUGAGCAAAUUUCUCUCUCCCACCUCACUCUUGGUUUUUCUCUUGAUUUGCUUUUCCUAGCCGCUCAACAUGCAAGCCGAAAUAAAUAUAUGCACAAAUAGCACAUAGGAUGCAUCAAGAUGGUCUUUUAUUUUGGGUACAGCUGUCCUAGACGGACCCAACCCAUGUGUUGAGUCCCCAAAGUUAAAUGCACGUGAUGCAAACAAACGUUCCUACUAGAGAUCCGGCAUGAGGCUAUAUUAUUCUAGGUUUAAGAAUGUGGGGGUGUGUUCUAGACAUGGCUUACCCAAGCGGACAUCUCAAGUCGAGGUGGGGGCAAUGUACUGGGAGCACGUAAGUCUACCUGGCUAGUUGUUGAUCCAACCUCGUUCUAUUCGGUAUGACUUCUAACAGAAAAGUGGGUCACGCGCAGGUGUGCACCAUAUUUUUAUAAGACUCAGAAGGGAGGCGUAAGAAGGCAAUUUAUACAGUUAAGAUAAUAUCAAAAGGGUAAAUGAGCAGCAAUUAGCACAUUAGGCCCACAAACACAGUAAUAUAAAAAAUCAAGAAAGCCAAGUAUAGAUCACAUUACAAUCUCGAAUUCUGAACCCUGAACCAGAGAUUCUGGGUUCGAUCCCCAACAGAGUCGCUAGAGCUGUCACACCUCCUUUUUCCGAGGAAUAGGGAGUUUUUCCAAUUAAAGUGACAUUAUUCGAAAUGGGAUUAUUUAAUUAAUUCAGUGUCACCACUUGGGAUAUCUAUUAUGGUGUCCCAAGUCACCGAUUUAUUUUAAAUCCCAAAUAGAGAAAAUUUGACUCUAUUUGUUGUCCGCGAACACAAAAGACCGGGUAAGAAAUUCUGUUAACCUAGGAGAAGGUGUGAGGCACUCCCGAGUUCCGUGGUUUUAGCACUAUCGCUCAACUAUUUAAUUAUUAGCCUAAUUAUCUAGUUUAUUACAUGUUUAAAUCCUAUUGGUCAUUUUUAACUUUUAGCCGCUUUUAAUACUAAUGGAAUUUAUUCAAAUAAGUCGUGAUGUCGCGCACUUUUUUUUUUUACAUAUGUGAAUUGCGUCACGUGAAACGCACCUGCAAUUUAUAACAUAUUUAUUUUAAUUAUUCAAAAUUGUAGUCGAGUCGCGUGGAACGCACACUCGAUUUGGGAUUUAUAUAUCUCAACUUGCCACGGGAACCGUACCCAUAGUCACGAUAAUUUAUUUAAACGUGCCUAAAGCAAACUACGAAUAUUCAAGAUUAUUUUUUUAAAGCUAAUUUGAGAUUAUUGUGAAGGUAAAAAAUUAUGGAAUAGAUCAUGGGUAAAUACAUAUUUGAAUAAUAAAGAAGUAUCACAAAUGGUCAUAACCUGAUUAAUUUAAUGAUGCUCACGUUCUGAUUUUCAUUAAAGAAAAAGAUACAUAUUAGGCAAGAAAGCUAACUAGAACUCAAAAACAGACUUAGUUGUUCCAGACAAAAAUAAUGGUAAUUGCACAUGACAACAACAAACUAGUUCCCAAUGUAAAAGUUAUGAACAAUAAGUUUCCAUUUUUACCUUGUAGAGAAAUUUCACAUUUAAUACCAAAUGGCAAAUAAAUACAGAUUCAAAAAAAAGGGACAACAAACAGUAAGCAAACAAGAGAAUUAUCAGAGUCAAUACAUUCAAAUCUGGGAGUAACAGCACGGAAUCAUGAUAGCUUCUUAUUACGCAUAAAAUGGUGUUGUAACCAGAUAAAAAGGUUCUAUAACAUCUGUAUGGAAGUACAUAGUCUGAGACUGAAAGUAGUACCUUUAAGAAUGAGAGGAGAAGUAGAAUGCAGUAGAUGCUAAGUGAUAUGGAACUCAGCUAAGCAAAAGCAACUUUCGCAGCCAACGACAAUGAUUUUAACCUCUUAUAACUCAACAGAUGAGAAGUAAUCAAUGACCCGUUGAAAUCCUUUUUGAAUCCGAGUUCUUUUUUGUUUUUUCAAAGCUUUUGCUUCUCAAAUCUCGACAUUUGGAAAUCCAAUAUUUUUUUCAGAUACUCUCUGGGUGCGUGUAGGAGUGGGGGUAAAAAUUUAUGUAUGAGUGUGUGUGUGAGAGAGACCAUAUGAGAGAGAUGAGAAAGAUGAGAAAGAGCGAAGAGGCGUCUAGGGUUUUGGGUAAAAGGGGGGAGGAAUCCGUUCUUUCAGAGAGGGGAAGGGGAAUCG
rnacentral:lncRNA from 1 species